rnacentral:rRNA from 1 species
ACUCCUGCGGGAGGCAGCAGUGGGGAAUUUUGGACAAUGGGCGAAAGCCUGAUCCAGCAAUGCCGCGUGUGUGAAGAAGGCCUUCGGGUUGUAAAGCACUUUUGUCCGGAAAGAAAUCCUUGGCUCUAAUACAGUCGGGGGAUGACGGUACCGGAAGAAUAAGCACCGGCUAACUACGUGCCAGCAGCCGCGGUAAUACGUAGGGUGCGAGCGUUAAUCGGAAUUACUGGGCGUAAAGCGUGCGCAGGCGGUUUGCUGAGACCGAUGUGAAAUCCCCGGGCUCAACCUGGGAACUGCAUUGGUGACUGGCAGGCUAGAGUAUGGCAGAGGGGGGUAGAAUUCCACGUGUAGCAGUGAAAUGCGUAGAGAUGUGGAGGAAUACCGAUGGCGAAGGCAGCCCCCUGGGCCAAUACUGACGCUCAUGCACGAAAGCGUGGGGAGCAAACAGGAUUAGAAACCCGUGUAGUCCC